rnacentral:rRNA from 1 species
UAGGGAAUCUUCGGCAAUGGACGAAAGUCUGACCGAGCAACGCCGCGUGAGUGAAGAAGGUUUUCGGAUCGUAAAACUCUGUUGUUAGAGAAGAACAAGGACGUUAGUAACUGAACGUCCCCUGACGGUAUCUAACCAGAAAGCCACGGCUAACUACGUGCCAGCAGCCGCGGUAAUACGUAGGUGGCAAGCGUUGUCCGGAUUUAUUGGGCGUAAAGCGAGCGCAGGCGGUUUCUUAAGUCUGAUGUGAAAGCCCCCGGCUCAACCGGGGAGGGUCAUUGGAAACUGGGAGACUUGAGUGCAGAAGGGGGGAGUGGAAUUCCAUGUGUAGCGGUGAAAUGCGUAGAUAUAUGGAGGAACACCAGUGGCGAAGGCGGCUCUCUGGUCUGUAACUGACGCUGAGGCUCGAAAGCGUGGGGAGCAAACAGG